ensembl:lncRNA
GUGAGUAUACAUUAAUUCAGUCUCCUCGUGCCUCGCUUUGUGGCGCUCCUCGCGCGGUGUGUCUCAAGUCGCUGCAUUCAUAAGGGAUCUCGUGUUGGCUCAGCAACGCCUUUUCGGACACGAGUAGGCUCUUUAUCAAUGUCCUAAUUGUUGUGUCUGGCUCUCAAAGGAAGAGAGGGAAGGGGGCUUUCUCGCUCUGUGCAUGGCUGGAAUGUCACAUUUUGGGGUGGAAAUAGGCUCCGACACUGCUGCGGUUCGAUCGACUGUCUGUCACAAACAACGGUUGUUUUGGUGUGCGAUUGUCGGCGACAUACAGUGAGUCGUGUGGGCAACUUAGGGCUUUCUCUCGCUCACUACGCAACGUGUACCGCUCGUGCAGACAGACCCCCGCUGCUUUACACUGUAGGUCUGCUGAGGAGUGUGUCCGCAGCCAGCCCCCCGCGCCCGUCAGAACCCACCUCCAGCACGAUGAUGUCGCUGUGACCCCCGGGGCGCACGAGUGAAGAUGCCGCGCACCAAACAGAACCACCCCAAGAACCUGAAAGGUGAGUUCUCCCCCUGGGAACCCGCGCUUCCAGGCCUCACCGGGCCGGUGACGGUUCUGAUCCAGUACCGGCUGGUGCCUCAAGUUCUGGGGUCGCCACGGAAGGCGUUUUGCGUUUGGGUUUGCGUGAGCUCUUUGUAUUUUCGAAGGCUGUAUUAUAUGGAGAAAAAGUGGGUGAUUGUGUUUGUUGUUAAUUAGUUGUGACACUCGUUUGGAGUUGUCGCCUGGCCCCCUGCCAUGUAUUCCUGAAGCAGUCUGUUUGUGGAAGAAAGGGUGGCACUGAGUCAUAAUAGUCAGAGAGGAAGACAUUUUAUAGACCGGACCUGUUUUAUCGAUGACACCUGCUGAGAGUCGGCUAUUUAAAGGUUCUAGAUACAUCAUACUGGGUGGUUCUCUGCUCUGGUCUUAUGCUGGGACCCUGGUCUGCUUCGGGAUCCUCCUUGUUUUCCUGCACUUGACUCGAAAGAUCUGGCUUGUGUUGACAGUUUUACAAGUGCUUCUCAGUCAGGCACCGAUAAGGGAAGUGUUCAUGGAUGUUAUGGUUGCCUUUUAACUUCUCUGGCUCCACAUUUCUGUUGGUUUGGCACACCUAGAUUUUCGAAAAGUAUUCCAAGUGUUUUCAAAAGUCUUGCGUUAAAACGAGCUCGACGGUUUUGUUUCAUCGUGGUCCAGUGAACAACUUCGGUCCAACUGUCUUUUCUUUUGGCUAACACAAAUACGUUUUCUGGGGAGGAGCCGUUGUAAACGUGUUCCCAGAAACGAC